rnacentral:lncRNA from 1 species
GUCAAGAAUUCUGCAUCGAUCGACAUACGUUCCUCUUCUUGACAGCUCCCUCUCGCGAGGCAGACUGACCACUUUUCAGUACAACGGGCAUAACUUCUGCUACAGGAUGCUGAUUGGCCUUAAACUGGUGGCGUUGGAAAGGUAACGCAAAGCUAUAUCUUGUGUCCAAAGAUAAGCCCAAUCUAAUGGUGGGAAGGUCUCCAUAUAUAGCUAAACAUCUGAUGCGUCUGUGCAGUUCUUCACCUCAAAAUACUCCAAAAUCACCAUAUUUCUCCAAAACGUACCUGAACCUGU